rnacentral:rRNA from 1 species
ACGGAAGGCAGCAGUGGGGGAUAUUGCACAAUGGGGGAAACCCUGAUGCAGCGACGCCGCGUGAGCGAAGAAGUAUUUCGGUAUGUAAAGCUCUAUCAGCAGGGAAGAAAAUGACGGUACCUGACUAAGAAGCUCCGGCUAAAUACGUGCCAGCAGCCGCGGUAAUACGUAUGGAGCAAGCGUUAUCCGGAUUUACUAGGUGUAAAGGGAGCGUAGACGGCGUGGCAAGUCUGAUGUGAAAACCCGGGGCUUAACCUCGGGAUUGCAUUGGAAACUGUCGGACUUGAGUGUCGGAGAGGAAAGCGGAAUUCCUAGUGUAGCGGUGAAAUGCGUAGAUAUUAGGAGGAACACCAGUGGCGAAGGCGGCUUUCUGGACGAUAACUGACGCUGAGGCUCGAAAGCGUGGGGAGCAAACAGGAUUAGAUACCCUGGUA